GAUGAACGCUGGCGGCGUGCCUAAUACAUGCAAGUCGAGCGAACGGACGAGAAGCUUGCUUCUCUGAUGUUAGCGGCGGACGGGUGAGUAACACGUGGAUAACCUACCUAUAAGACUGGGAUAACUUCGGGAAACCGGAGCUAAUACCGGAUAAUAUUUUGAACCGCAUGGUUCAAAAGUAAAAGACGGUCUUGCUGUCACUUAUAGAUGGAUCCGCGCUGCAUUAGCUAGUUGGUAAGGUAACGGCUUACCAGGGCAACGAUGCAUAGCCGACCUGAGAGGGUGAUCGGCCACACUGGAACUGAGACACGGUCCAGACUCCUACGGGAGGCAGCAGUAGGGAAUCUUCCGCAAUGGGCGAAAGCCUGACGGAGCAACGCCGCGUGAGUGAUGAAGGUCUUCGGAUCGUAAAACUCUGUUAUUAGGGAAGAACAUAUGUGUAAGUAACUGUGCACAUCUUGACGGUACCUAAUCAGAAAGCCACGGCUAACUACGUG
rnacentral:rRNA from 1 species